UCCUCCCGAUCACGGGAUGCUCAAGUUUUGAACCAGCUAACAAAAUGCAUAAGAAAGAAGCUCAACGAAGGGUACAACAUGUGGGGGGUUCAAGGACACUUCAUCAAAUCUAACUGGUCCCAUAUUCUGAUUACCUUCUCUCAAGAGGACCUUCAGCUGAUGAAUUACCCACAUAAUGAUGCAAUGGUUAUAUCGUGUAUCAUUAAAGGAUUCUUAGUCCACAAUGUGCUAGUGGAUACCGGAAGUGCAAUAGAUAUUAUUUUUUCUAAAGCCUUCGAAGAAAUGCAAUAACCAGAUGACGAGAUACAAGAUGCAGUACUUCCUCUGUGUGGCUUUGGAGGAAAGCAUAUAACAGCAUUCGGUAAAAUACUAAUGGCAAUUACAUUCAGCCAUAUUCAUAACACAAGAACUGAGGAAGUUGUGUUCGACAUAGUUGGCAUGGAGUAUCCCGAUAAUGCAACUGUUGGAAGAGGGACAAUGAAUGCCUUUAAAGUCGUGCUACAUUCAACAUACCUUUACAGGAUAAUCCAUCCAAUCAAGGCCCAAUUUCCAUAUUUGGAAGUCAAGAAUCUACAGGAAAAGUCGAAGGAAACUUGACAGACUCCAAGGUCAUUCACAACAUAGAUGAAGCCGAAGCCCAAAAUCAACAGAAGCACAUAAGGGACAAGGCAACUUCGGCGGAUCAGCCAAGGCUAUACUUCUUUGUGAAGAUAUAGCCGAUCAGAAAUCACUCUUUGGAACACAAUUAUCAGAAGAGCAAGAAAAAAGCUUAAAAGUUCUUGUUCAACAAUAGAGACGUAUUUGCUUGCUCAACUGAUGAUUUACGUGGAGUAAAUAGAAACAUCAUUGAGCACUCUCUCAACGUGGAUCCUUCAACCAGACCAAGAAAGCAAAAACUGAGAAAAAUGUCAAAAGACAAAGCUGAAGGAGCAAGAGCAGAAGUCAAAAGGCUUCUAAGUGUUGGGGUAAUCAGGAAAGUUACUUACCUAGAAUGGCUUGCCAAUAAUGUAAUUAGAUCUGAUCAUGGGUCACCCGACCCGACCAACCCAACCCGCUCAAAAAAAGACUUGGUCUGGCUCGAUCCAACCAAUGCAACAGACGGGUAUGGAUUAUAAUUUUUGACCCACAAUAAUUCAUGGGCCAUAAUUUUUAUCCAAAACCCGACCCAACAAAAAAAAAACUCGACCCAAAGCCAACAAAUCCGACCCAACCCAAAAAAAACUUAACUCGACACGUCAAACAGGGAGGCACGGGCCAACCUGACCUAACAUUAGACACGAGUGAGGUACGGGUCGUAUUAAAUGACCCCCCGAUGUUUGCACAGGUCUACCUGUAAUGGUGAAAAAAACAAAUGAGAAGUGUAGAAUGUGCAUUUACCUCACGGAUCUCGAUAAAGCAUGUUAUUUCCUCUACUACAGAUAGAUUCACUUGUUGAUGUCGCCUCUACUUUAGAGCUUAUGAGACUACUAGACUGUUAUCCAGAGUAGCAUUAGACAUCGAUUAAAAAAAAAGAUGGACAAAAAACAAGCUUCAUCGCUUGAUCAUUUCAAGUGGUACAUAAUGUUAUUCCAAUGCCUGAGUGUCUGAAGAAUGCUGGGGAAGCCGGAGCCUGACAUACUGGGAAAACGGCUCGAGAGGGAGUUGGGGUGAAGGCGAACGCGGUUAGGGCCUCACCGAGGGGGUCGGGGUAGCGGAGGAGGUCGACGACGAGCGGUGGCGGCGCAAUGAACUCCGGCGGGGUCGGGGUACCACGCCUAGAGGACCGUAAAGAGCUCGGAGAUGAUCGGGGAAGCAGCAGCGAGCUCCGGGGAGCACGAUGGCACCCUUGGCGCGAACGGUGGUGCGACGGCGACAACGAGCGCUGACAGAGAGCAGCGAGGCACGGGAGGGGGCGCUGGUGCUCGGAAUCGAUGGCGGGGGUUCGAGUGGUACUGAUAGAGGCGAGGCCGGGGCGAAUCGGGCUCCAAAUCGGUGGGGAUCGACUCCGACCAAUUUCCGUAAACGACGGAGAAAAAAAGGAAAGAAAUACUCAGCGAGGGGAAGGGGAGUUGGUCGAGAUCGUGGGGAAAAGAAGGGUGUCUCGGCGUGCUCCACUUGUGGCAAGGAAUCAAACGAGGCAGCUCGACGUGGUGGCACGCACGGUGAGAUCCUGGUGCAGG
rnacentral:lncRNA from 1 species